rnacentral:snRNA from 1 species
AUAUUUACCUGACAGAGAAAAUACCCUGAUCAUGAAGGCAGUUAUUCUGACCCCUGUAAUUUCCCCAGAAGUGGGAGAUUUGAGUGCAUAAUUUCUAGUAAUGGUGGAUUGCCUUCAUAACUCUCCC